rnacentral:rRNA from 1 species
AUGGGGACGUGGUGGAUCCUGACAAGGGCCGGCGAGAGGGCUUUUUUGUUAGUUGUUCCUUUAAAAUUUGUUAGGCUUUAUGUUUUGCUUAGGAAGGCGAGAUGGCGUCGGCUUCUUAAAGAUGGAAUAAAGGUCUCCUCGCCUAACCCUCAUUUCGGUGAUGUGUUUAGCAUCGUUGGUGGGCGUGUGAAAGGUGUGUCUCCGGUGGAUCUAUCGUCGGUGGAUUUGCUCGGAUCUGGUUGUUGUUUUUCUAUGUCCGUAUGUCUUCAGGUUGGAUACUUCCGAUCUACGUUAUUCUUCAUUGGUGGCGGUUGCUGUUCUGGUGCAAUGGUCAUAUAG